CCCACACUGGUUAACAGGAAGGCAGCACUUAACACCGUGGUGUGAAAGGAUCCUGUGAAAGGAUCCGAGAGACUCACCACCCACGCAUGUGAGUGACAGAACAAACUGUUCUGAGGCCCAAGUGAGGUUAUGGCACAGAGGUUUCCCAAAACAACCAGUUCCUUUCAGAACUAACCAGCUAACUCUUGUUAUCUCCUAACCAGAUUUCAAAACAAGCAAAGGACGGCAGCAGCAUCUCCUCGUGUAACCGGGCCUGGCCUCAGUCCUCUCCACUGUCCUGUCUCAGCCUCCCAAGUGCUGGGAUCACAGACAGCUGCCACUGCUCUCAGCCCUAACCUGACUAUGGCCUUGGCUGGUCCUUCUCCCAAGCGUCAAUCAGCACCGGAACUGUGGAAAGCCAACCCUGCAGGGCAAUGGUGGCCUCUCAAUAUUGAAUCCAGGCUACAGGAAACCCACUCAGAUCUACCUCUCGUGGACCAAAUAAACUCCAUCCAGAUAAGUACACCUGCCAGUCAAUGGCCUACCUAUCCCAGACGGUGAGCUUCCUCUCUUGUGCCCUGGGAUUGGGACUCCCCUCACCCCCAACCACCAAGGCCUAAGGGUUUCAAAUGUACUUUCAAAUAUGCCUAAGAAACUUUUUUUCUCCCAAACAUACUUAACUUUAUUCUCUACCUCUAAUAUAAAUGUGUGUGUUUCAGCAUCUUGUCAAGUCCAGUUGUUUAUUCAAAAUCUACAUCCAGGACAGCUCCAGAGAAGCAACUCACAGAUGUUCAAUCUGCUCUCACAGACACAGCGGCUUCUACUGGACCUGCUCCUUCCUACCCACGGAUGGUUCCACAGACCCUGACAGCAAGGAAACAGCUGACUCUCCUAAGGCUAGACCAACAUCCCAUCCACAUCUUCUUAGGCUCCCCAGACACCCCAAAGUCAGCAGGAAGCAGCUAAAGAUCAUGAAGGCCCUAUUCCUGCUUCACCAUCGCCCUGUCUAGUUUUUCCUUUUUUUUAAUUAAACCAAAAUGAAGGAAUGUUAGCAUUCCUUCUAGGGUCCACCCCACAGUUACCUGGCAACAGUUAGGUAUACCUGACUCACUAUAAAAGGGGCUGUUUGCCCCCUCCUUGUUCUCUUACUCUCUUACUUUCCUACUCUCUCUCUCUCUCUCACUCUCUCUGCCUUUCUCUCUCUCUACUCCCUCCUCAAUUCCCCUCCCCAUGCCCUAAAUAAAUUCUAUUCCAUACUAUAUCCAUGUAUGGCUGGUACCUCAGGGGGAAGGGAUGUCUCAGCAUGGGCCCGAAGAGGCACCCCUUCCACCUCACCAUACCACGCCUCUAUGAAACAUAUUCUGGUUCUUUCAUUUUAUAACAACAGGAAGUCCAAGAAUCUAGUAGUUGCUCAGGCCCACGAGGCUACUUGUUUCAGCUGGUCUUCUAUGGAAGUAGUUCCCAACAGAUGUGCUGGCAAGUAAGAGCAAGCAGUCAAAGAAGAGUGAAUCUUCCUUCUUCCAGUGUCCUUCUGUAGGUCUCCAGCAGAAUGUACGGCCCAGAUUAAAGGUGUGUGCCACCAAGCCUGUAUCUAAAACUUGCUUUGUCCCAGGCUGACCUUGAACUCAGUGAUCUCCUUGCCUCAGUCCCCUGGGAUUAAAUUCGUGUGCGACCUUGGCUGGGCUUAAGCUUUUCAUGGCCACUAGGCCUCAAGAUCUCCAUGCCCAGAUCCAGGUCAGAACCUUGUAUCUUCCAGCCUUAAGAUCUGGAUCACAGGUGUGCCCUCCAAUUCUGAACUGUAGUUCAUUUUAGAUAUAGAAUGACAAUAACAACCAGGAAUAGCUAUUACAUCCCAUCAGGAGGCUAGACAGAAGACAGACUGCACCUGGAUAGGCCUAGCUGGUCAGCCAGCCUGAUUUGCUCCAUCCUGCCCCACACCUUAGGAAGCUAAUUCAUUAGGUCAGAGAAAUCUGUAGGACCCAGGAAUAUAUGGAGGAUGGAUUGUGGGAAGGGAGCUGUCUACUCUGUCCUGAGUCCCAUUCCUUUCUGCUGCCUGCAAUAAAUCUAUCCUCUCUCUCUUCUCCUCCC
rnacentral:lncRNA from 1 species